GAUGAACGCUGGCGGCGUGCCUAAUACAUGCAAGUCGAGCGAACGGACGAGAAGCUUGCUUCUCUGAUGUUAGCGGCGGACGGGUGAGUAACACGUGGAUAACCUACCUAUAAGACUGGGAUAACUUCGGGAAACCGUAGCUAAUACCGGAUAAUAUUUUGAACCGCAUGGUUCAAAAGUGAAAGACGGUCUUGCUGGCACUUAUAGAUGGAUCCGCGCUGCAUUAGCUAGUUGGUAAGGUAACGGCUUACCAAGGCAACGAUGCAUAGCCGACCUGAGAGGGUGAUCGGCCACACUGGAACUGAGACACGGUCCAGACUCCUACGGGAGGCAGCAGUAGGGACUCUUCCGCAAUGGGCGAAAGCCUGACGGAGCAACGCCGCGUGAGUGAUGAAGGUCUUCGGAUCGUAAAACUCUGUUAUUAGGGAAGAACAUAUGUGUAAGUAACUGUGCACAUCUUGACGGUACCUAAUCAGAAAGCCACGGCUAACUACGUG
rnacentral:rRNA from 1 species